rnacentral:rRNA from 1 species
GACGAACGCUGGCGGCGUGCUUAACACAUGCAAGUCGAACGGAAAGGCCCUGCUUUUUGGGGUGCUCGAGUGGCGAACGGGUGAGUAACACGUGAGUAACCUGCCCUUGACUUUGGGAUAACUUCAGGAAACUGGGGCUAAUACCGGAUAGGAGCUCCUGCUGCAUGGUGGGGGUUGGAAAGUUUCGGCGGUUGGGGAUGGACUCGCGGCUUAUCAGCUUGUUGGUGGGGUAGUGGCUUACCAAGGCUUUGACGGGUAGCCGGCCUGAGAGGGUGACCGGCCAAAUUGGGACUGAGAUACGGCCCAGACUCGUACGGGAGGCAGCGGUGGGGAAUAUUGCACAAUGGGCGGAAGCCUGAUGCAGCAACGCCGCGUGCGGGAUGACGGCCUUCGGGUUGUAAACCGCUUUCGCCUGUGACGAAGCGUGAGUGACGGUAAUGGGUAAAGAAGCACCGGCUAACUACGUG